rnacentral:rRNA from 1 species
GAUGAACGCUGGCGGCGUGCCUUAUACAUGCAAGUCGAGUGGGUGUACACCCACGGCAAGCUGGUGAGUAACACGUAGGUCCUUUCCUUGUCACAUGAAUAACCCUCCGAAUGUAGGGCUAAUAUCUGAUGUGAUCGCAAGCUCAAAUGCUAUCUGCAAGGAUUACCUGACAAGAAGAGGCCUUCGGCCUAUCAGCUAGUUGGAGAGGUAAAUGCCCACCAAGGCUAUGACGGGUAGCAGGUCUUAUGAGGAUGCUCAGUCGCCUGGGUCGUGAGACACGGGCGCAAAUUCUACGGGAGGGGGCGGUAGGGAAUUUUACGCAAUGCGCGAGAGUGUGACGCAGCGACGCGGCGUGAGGGAUGAAGGCCGUGGAGUAGUAGACGGCUUUUAUAAGGGACGAACUUUGACGGUACCUAAUGAAUAAGAGGCUGCUAACUCCGUG